ACGGAGGGUGCAAGCGUUAAUCGGAAUUACUGGGCGUAAAGCGCACGCAGGAGGUGUGUUAAGUCAGAUGUGAAAUCCCCGGGCUCAACCUGGGAACUGCAUCUGAUACUGGCAAGCUUGAGUCUCGUAGAGGGGGGUAGAAUUCCAGGUGUAGCGGUGAAGUGCGUAGAGAUCUGGAGGAAAACCGGUGAGUGAGGCGGCCCCUGGACGAAGACUGACGCUCAGGUGCGAAAGAGUGGGGAGCAAACAG
rnacentral:rRNA from 1 species